rnacentral:rRNA from 1 species
GAUGAACGCUUUCUUCUUUCUUAACACAUGCAAGUCGAACGAUGAAGCCCAGCUUGCUGGGUGGAUUAGUGGCGAACGGGUGAGUAACACGUGAGUAACCUGCCCUUAACUCUGGGAUAAGCCUGGGAAACUGGGUCUAAUACCGGAUAGGAGCGUCCACCGCAUGGUGGGUGUUGGAAAGAUUUAUCGGUUUUGGAUGGACUCGCGGCCUAUCAGCUUGUUGUUGAGGUAAUGGCUCACCAAGGCGACGACGGGUAGCCGGCCUGAGAGGGUGACCGGCCACACUGGGACUGAGACACGGCCCAGACUCCUACGGGAGGCAGCAGUGGGGAAUAUUGCACAAUGGGCGCAAGCCUGAUGCAGCGACGCCGCGUGAGGGAUGACGGCAUUCGGGUUGUAAACCUCUUUCAGUAGGGAAGAAGCGAAAGUGACGGUACCUGCAGAAGAAGCAACGGCUAACUACGUG